GAUUAUGGCUCAGGAUGAACGCUAGCUACAGGCUUAACACAUGCAAGUCGAGGGGCAGCAUUGGAGUAGCAAUACUCAGAUGGCGACCGGCGCACGGGUGAGUAACACGUAUCCAACCUGCCGCUUACUCGGGGAUAGCCUUUCGAAAGAAAGAUUAAUACCCGAUGGUAUAAAGAGUUCGCAUGUUCUCUUUAUUAAAGAAUUUCGGUAAGCGAUGGGGAUGCGUUCCAGUUAGAUAGUUGGCGGGGUAACGGCCCACCAAGUCUACGAUGGAUAGGGGUUCUGAGAGGAAGGUCCCCCACAUUGGAACUGAGACACGGUCCAAACUCCUACGGGAGGCAGCAGUGAGGAAUAUUGGUCAAUGGACGAGAGUCUGAACCAGCCAAGUAGCGUGAAGGAUGACUGCCCUAUGGGUUGUAAACUUCUUUUAUAAGGGAAUAAAGUGAGGGACGUGUCCCUUUUUGUAUGUACCUUAUGAAUAAGGAUCGGCUAACUCCGUGCCAGCAGCUGC
rnacentral:rRNA from 1 species